UCCCAGGUGACUCAGUGGUAGAGAAUCUGCCUGCAAUGCAGAAGACCCGGGUUCGAUCCCUGGGUCAGGAA
rnacentral:tRNA from 1 species